GACGAACGCUGGCGGCGUGCUUAACACAUGCAAGUCGAACGGAAAGGCCCUGCUUUUGGGGGGUGCUCGAGUGGCGAACGGGGGAGUAACACGUGAGUAACCUGCCCUUGACGUUGGGAUAACUUCAGGAAACUGGGGCUAAUAACGGAUAGGAGCUCCUGCUGCAUGGUGGGGGUUGGAAAGUUUCGGCGGUUGGGGAUGGAAUCGCGGCUUAUCAGCUUGUUGGUGGGGUAGUGGCUUACCAAGGCUUUGACGGGUAGCCGGCCUGAGCGGGUGACCGGCCACAUUGGGCCUGAGAUACGGCGCAGACUCCUACGGGAGGCAGCAGUGGGGAAUAUUGCACAAUGGGCGGAAGCCUGAUGCAGCAACGCCGCGUGCGGGAUGACGGCCUUCGGGUUGUAAACCGCUUUCGCCUGUGACGAAGCGUGAGUGACGGUAAUGGGUAAAGAAGCACCGGCUAACUACGUG
rnacentral:rRNA from 1 species